rnacentral:rRNA from 1 species
ACAGGUGGUGGCGAUGGUUGUCGUCAGCUCGUGUCGUGAGAUGUUGGUUAGUCCCGCACGAGCGCAACCCCUAUUGUUAGUUGCCAUCAUUCAGUUGGGCACUCUAGCGAGACUGCCGGUAAUAAACCGGAGGAAGGUGGGGAUGACGUCAAAUCAUCAUGCCCCUUAUGACCUGGGCUACACACGUGCUACAAUGGUUGGUACAACGAGUUGCGAGUCGGUGACGGCGAGCUAAUCUCUUAAAGCCAAUCUCAGUUCGGAUUGUAGGCUGCAACUCGCCUACAUGAAGUCGGAAUCGCUAGUAAUCGCGGAUCAGCACGCCGCGGUGAAUACGUUCCCGGGCCUU